rnacentral:rRNA from 1 species
GAUGAACGCUGGCGGCGUGCCUAAUACAUGCAAGUCGAGCGAACAGACGAGGAGCUUGCUCCUCUGACGUUAGCGGCGGACGGGUGAGUAACACGUGGAUAACCUACCUAUAAGACUGGGAUAACUUCGGGAAACCGGAGCUAAUACCGGAUAAUAUAUUGAACCGCAUGGUUCAAUAGUGAAAGACGGUUUUGCUGUCACUUAUAGAUGGAUCCGCGCCGCAUUAGCUAGUUGGUAAGGUAACGGCUUACCAAGGCAACGAUGCGUAGCCGACCUGAGAGGGUGAUCGGCCAAGCUGGAACUGAGACACGGUCCAGACUCCUGCGGGAGGCAGAAGUAGGGAAUCUUCCGCAAUGGGCGAAAGCCUGACGGAGCAACGCCGCGUGAGUGAUGAAGGUAUUCGGAUCGUAAAACUCUGUUAUUAGGGAAGAACAAAUGUGGAAGUAACUAUGCACGACUUGACGGUAACUAAUCAGAAAGCCACGGCUAACUAAGUG